rnacentral:snRNA from 1 species
GGAUGUGAGGACGAUCGGGCUGCAACAUCUGUCACCCCAUCGAUCACCAGGGUUGAUUCGGCUGAUCUGGCUGGCUAGGUGGGUGUCCCCUUCCUCCCUCACUGCUCCAUGUGCGUUCCUCCCAAAGCUGCGCGCUCCGUCAAAGAGGACGGCCUUCCCCGAAUAGAGACGGACCAGUAUAGAGACGGACUGGUCUUCGGUCGAGGGCAUACGAGUAGCUGCGCUCCCCUGCUAGAACCUCCAAACAAGCUCUCAAGAGAAAUUGUGGCAGAGGGGCUGAGGGGAGAGCAGGGGCGUGGUGCCU